UACAUACUAUAUAUAUGGCCAUGUAAAUGGAUAUGUCAACCACUGCAGUACCCAGCUGGUGAUCCAGCCUUCCAAACUGAACCAAGAACCUUGUAUUGCCAUGGUUAUUUUGUCCUACUGCCCAAAACACAGUGGAAAGGUCUGCAGGGAGAGGCACAUUCCUUGAACUGUGAGGUAAAGGUGGUUUAGGGCAGCAGCUACCAGCACAGAUCAGGGUUCACUCAGCUCCAAGAUCUAACCCAGUUAGGUGUGUGGAACGGGGCCACCUGCUUAAGUGCCUCAAGGUGUGUUUUGUGAGGGGGUUUAACUGGCUCAGCCUACUGCCUUCCUGCCAGGGUCAAGAGGGCUUUUUUCCAAGUAGCAAACGGUGAAGGAAUCUGGAGGAGACUGUCAUGUAAAGUAAAAGAAAGAGGUGGUCUCGGGUAAAGAGCCUGUGGUUAUGUGCUGACCUGACAGAGUAAGCAGGGAAGAGUGGGCUACCUACAGCAAUUUGAUAGAGGAUCAGGAAUGGCUACAGAAGAAUGUGCUGGUAGGUUCAUCCUGGAAGUAGUCAGGGCCCCUGUUUGUUUCCAGUGAAAUGGUAUGGCAGUCACACUGUAGGCAUCCCAUUGGGCUGCCAGGCAGACUCAGAACUCAACAUCAUGGAUAAAAGCAGGAAUAAAAGAAACAGAGGCUCAUGCUUGUACAAAACCAGCUCAGCACAAGGAAGGUGUCGGUAGCCGUGGGUCUACCUAGAAGAGCAAAGACAGCUGCUUGGCCUGUGAGCAGUUUGGCUGUGCCCUCCCAGGAAACUGAACUCCUGAAGGCUGCUUGCCCUGGUGUGCAGCACUUGGUCUGCUGUGGGGCCCUACCAAGGGGGAUAGCUGCGUUGCCUUCACCUGAGACUCCUGUAGGAGCAGAACUAACUUCCUAACUCACUGUGCUUAACAGAGCUCAUGCAACAUAAAAGGAAUAAAAAAUUAUAUGGUUGCUACUAUCCAUUCCUGUUUCA